UGCGCUAUAUUUCCUUUGCUUAUUCAAUGUCGUCGAUAAGUUAAAUGACAAGGAGCUCCAAUGUUAAAAAAAUAUAUCCGUCCUAUGCCAUUAGUAGGGUAUGUAAAAGACAGCACCUUUGUACAACACAAAUAAGGAUCAUAUAAAACAAGUGUCAUUAAAAAUGUCGGCUCGUGAAAGCGACGACCAAGGACCCUCCACGCCGAAAAAAAGAGAACUUGUAAGCAGAAAUUUCCAAUAAAAUUGUUUUUUUUUCACAUUAAAAACACUGUAAUGAG